rnacentral:tRNA from 1 species
GAGCAGGAUGGCGGAGAGCGCCCGCGGUCUUGCCGGGAACGCUCCCACCGGGGAUGGAAGUGAAGGGCCGGUGCGGACACCGGCCCUGCUCAC